AUUGAACGCUGGCGGCAUGCUUUACACAUGCAAGUCGAACGGCAGCGCGGGCUUCGGCCUGGCGGCGAGUGGCGAACGGGUGAGUAAUACAUCGGAACGUGCCCAGUAGUGGGGGAUAGCUCGGCGAAAGCCGGAUUAAUACCGCAUACGACCUGAGGGUGAAAGCGGGGGAUCUUCGGACCUCGCGCUAUUGGAGCGGCCGAUGGCAGAUUAGUUAGUUGGUGGGGUAAAGGCCUACCAAGGCGACGAUCUGUAGCUGGUCUGAGAGGACGACCAGCCACACUGGGACUGAGACACGGCCCAGACUCCUACGGGAGGCAGCAGUGGGGAAUUUUGGACAAAGGGCGAAAGCCUGAUCCAGCAAUGCCGCGUGUGUGAUGAAGGCCUUCGGGUUGUAAAGCACUUUUGGCGGGAACGAAAAGGACUGUGCCAAUACCACGGUUCGAUGACGGUACCCGCAGAAUAAGCACCGGCUAACUACGUG
rnacentral:rRNA from 1 species